GAGGGAUCCUCAGUAUCAAAUUUUUUAAAUGAUCCCGAUAUACUACCCUAAUUUUUACACUUUCAUAAUUAUGGCGCUUCACCUAAAGAGUCACCAUAAGAAUUAGAGCCUGAAACAUUCUAUAUGGUAAUAGUGGCACGAGUCCCUAGCAUCAGCCCAAGGUCAAUCCUUCUUGAACAUCCCCGAUGGUUAAAAAAUAACUCUCCAACAAACUACUCCCAUCAU
rnacentral:lncRNA from 1 species